GUAUAGGCCUGGGGGAAAGGCUGCUUCUUGCUCCUCGUCAUCUCCUCCCCGGCGAACUCGACCUUGAGCUUCGCCGCGUUGAAGGUCGUGGGAGGUCCCAGUAUCUUGGCCGCCUGAUACAAGAUUCAUUUCUUCAGGGAGGAGUAGACGUCUGCUGCGGCUGCCCUGGUGUCGCAGCUGACGACCAAGAAGCGCAGCGGUUCCCGCCUGCAGCCACCCCUCCUGCUGCUGCUCGUUACGGCGGCGGACGAGGAGGAGAAGCAGAGUGCGGCGCCGCGCGACGCCAUUGACGGUGUCGUCCACUUGAGAUCAAAUCUGGCACGCUGCAUGAAGCAAGCUAGAUUAAUCCAGAAUGCAGGAGCAGCUAGCUAGCAGACCUCGUGGCAUCUCUCAGGCCCCGCCAUCCAAAACAAAUCAAAUCAAAUCAAGGUCUGUAUUGUGUCUGGUGGUGGCGGUGGUGGUCCAAGGCACGAAGCAGGCAAGAGAGAGAGAGAGAGAGAGAGAGAGAGAGACAGAGAGAGAGACGUGGCCGCUGCCAUUGCUUUGUGGCUGUGGAAUGUUACCAACUAAUAGAAAUUGAGAGGGGAGAAUUGGGGAUCGAGCAAUUCAUCUGUUCUUCCA